UGUUCGGAAGAGCCAGAAAGCUCAUUUGCACAAGUAGUCCACGGUCUUCUGUCUGUUUUCCGUAGAAAAGCGCUGUAACAUGGAAAUAUGGCUACGUGGGACCCUAACCCUAUAGAAAAGACCUGGUGUGUCAUCACCCCCGCACGCCUUCCCUGUCUUCUGGAGGGUCCAAUAUCAAUGAGGAGCCAUCCUGAAGACACACAUAACAUGAUGUAGCCAUCACCAUGAUUGAAAAUAUGAAGAGUGGUCAAGACUUCCGCCGAAGUCGGUUCCUCUCCUUGUUCGGGCGGCGUUCGGCGGUCGACGUCACCGGUCUUCUAGCCAUCGCCGAACCACCUUUCAUUUUCCAUUUGUUUUGUCUUGUUUUCCCACACACCUGGUUUACAUUCCCUCAUUACGAGAUGUGUAUUUAACCCUUUGUUCCCCCCAUGUUUGUGUGUGGAAUUGUUUGUUGUAAAGUGUAUUGUGCACUUCAGACUGGUUUGCGACGGGUUAUUUCAACCCAUAUUUGGUUGUUCUGGGUGCCGUUGGUUUUGCCUCAUUAAACUGCUCCGGUUAUUACCCAGUUCUGCUCUCCUGCGCCUGACUUCCCUGUAGACAGUUACUCACCUCUUACAAGAGUGGUACUUAGUAAUGUGUUGUAUUGGGUUUGCCCCUGACACAACUCUUUGUACUCAAGACAAAAAGUGAAUUGCUUUGCCACCUUUUUUUGCAAUAUUGCUUUAGUGCCUUGUUGCUAACAGGAUGCAUGUUUUGGAAUAUUUUUGUUCUGUACAGGCUUCCUUCUUUUCACUCUGUCAUUUAGGUUAGUAUU